rnacentral:rRNA from 1 species
UACGUAGGUGGCAAGCGUUGUCCGGAAUUAUUGGGCGUAAAGCGCGCGCAGGCGGUCCUUUAAGUCUGAUGUGAAAGCCCACGGCUCAACCGUGGAGGGUCAUUGGAAACUGGGGGACUUGAGUGCAGGAGAGAAGAGUGGAAUUCCACGUGUAGCGGUGAAAUGCGUAGAUAUCGGGAGGAACACCAGUGGCGAAGGCGAGUCCCUGGACAAUUCCUGACGCUGAGGCACGAAAGCUAGGGGAGCAAACAGG